UGAUUCGACGAUGAGUCCCACAAAUGCAUUCCUUGGAAAUCUGAGCAAAAUGAGUGAGAAACCCUACCGUCUCCUCAUCGGAACUGAAGUCU
ensembl:snoRNA SNORD116 Small nucleolar RNA SNORD116